rnacentral:rRNA from 1 species
UACGUAGGGUGCAAGCGUUAUCCGGAAUUACUGGGCGUAAAGCGUGCGUAGGCGGUUUUGUAAGUUUGUCGUGAAAGCCCAGGGCUCAACCUGGGAAUUGCGAUGAAGACUGCAAGGCUUGAAUCUGGCAGAGGGGGGUAGAAUUCCACGUGUAGCAGUGAAAUGCGUAGAUAUGUGGAGGAACACCGAUGGCGAAGGCAGCCCCCUGGGCUGACACUGACGCUCAGGCACGAAAGCGUGGGGAGCAAACAGG